rnacentral:rRNA from 1 species
GACGAACCGUGCAAACGUUGUUCGGAAUCACUGGGCUUAAAGGGCGCGUAGGCGGGCAGCCAAGUCUGUGGUGAAAUCUUUCGGCUCAACCGGAAAAUGGCCGUGGAUACUGGCUGUCUUGAGGGAGGUAGGGGCCCGUGGAACUUCCGGUGGAGCGGUGAAAUGCGUUGAUAUCGGAAGGAACGCCGGUGGCGAAAGCGGCGGGCUGGAUCUUUUCUGACGCUGAGGCGCGAAAGCUAGGGGAGCAAACGGG